CCAUUUUUAUCGUUCUUCUUUUGCACUCAGCUCCGUCUUCUCUGCUACCGUUCCGGUACCGGUGUUCAUCAUGUCUCCGCCAAGAAUUCUUCUCUGCGGCGACGUUUUCGGCCGUCUCAACCAGCUUUACAAGCGUGUCGUCUCGGUUAACAAAUCAGCCGGUCCGUUCGACGUGCUUCUUUGUGUUGGACAGUUUUUUCCGGACUCAACCGACCAGCUCGAUGAGUUCAUGGAUUACGUUGAAGGUCGAUCAGUAAUCCCUCUUUCUACGUACUUCAUUGGCGACUAUGGCGUCGGUGCAGCUAAGGUUCUAUUGGCUUCUUCUAAAGACUCAGCCAAUCAAGGGUUUAAAAUGGACGGUUUGAAGAUUUGCGCGAAUUUGCACUGGUUGAAAGGCAGUGGGAAGUUCACGCUACAUGGUUUAUCUGUGGCAUACUUAUCUGGUAGAUGUUCUUCAGAUGGUCUUCCAUUUGGAACAUAUACUCAAGAUGAUGUUGACGCGUUGCGAGCAAUAGCUGAAGAACCUGGAGUUGUUGACUUGUUCCUCUCAAAUGAAUGGCCAACUGAGGUUACAAAUAGAGUACCAACAUCAGAUAUCCCUCCUGGAGUCUCAGAUCUCUCGGGAAGUGAUGCUACCAUCUCUGAAUUAGUUGUGGAAAUCAAACCUCGUUAUCACAUUGCAGGUACAAAAGGAGUGUUUUUUGCUCGAGAACCGUACUCUAAUGUUGAUGCUGUGCACGUGACUCGCUUUUUAGGUCUUGCUUCGGUAGGAAAUAAAGAGAAACAGAAAUUUAUUCAUGCGAUUUCUCCCAUCCCAUCGUCUACCAUGUCUGCUGUUGAAAUUAGUAUGAAGCCUCCAAAUACUACCUUAUCUCCAUACACACUCACUGAGCGGAAAUCUGAAGCCUCAGACUCUGCAAAGAGGUCCAGCAAUAGUGUUUCUGAAUCACAAUAUUGGAGAUAUGAAGUGUCUCAGAAACGACAAAAAUAUGGAACCUCAGAUACUAACAAGCUUUGUUUCAAGUUUACAUCUUCUGGAUCUUGUCCACGUGGAGAAAAAUGCAACUUUCAUCAUGACAUGGAUGCAAGAGAGCAAAGCCAGAGAGGUGUUUGUUUUGAUUUUCUGAAUAAAGGAAAAUGCGAAAGGGGUCCAGAUUGCAAUUUUAAACACAGCUUUCAGAAUGAAUUUGACAGCCACUCUGGGAAGAGGAGAUCUGGAAAUGCUGGAACCAAUAGGUCUAAAGAAUGCUGGUUUUGUUUAUCAAGUCCCAAUAUAGAGUCACAUCUUAUAGUCAGUGUGGGUGAGAGUUUCUACUGUGCACUGGCCAAAGGUCCUCUUGUUCCGGAUCACAUAUUGGUAAUACCUGUAGAGCACUUUCCAAACACCCUCUCUCUAGGCCCAGAUUAUGAAACUGAAAUCAACAGACUCCAAAAUUGCCUCCGGAAGUAUUUCAAGAGUCAAGGAAAGGAAGUUGUUUUCUUUGAGUGGGUUUCAAAGCGUAGCACUCAUGCUAAUCUUCAGGCUGUUCCUAUUCCAUCAUCUAGAGCUCAUGUGGUUCAGAACAUAUUUGAUAUGGCUGCUGAAAAGCUGGGCUUUAAGUUCGUGAUCUCUAAAUCAGCAGAUGCGCCUAGUGAAGGAAGAAAAUCAUUGAGGACACAGUUUGAUAGUGAUCACAGUUUCUUCUAUGCCGAACUUCCUGAAUGUGUUACCUUAUCGCAUGUUAUUGAGGAGAAUGAGAUAUUUCCAGCCCAAUUUGGACGAGAGGUUCUAGCAGGCUUGCUUAACAUGGCUGAUAAAGCUGAUUGGAGGAAUUGCGCCCAUUCUAAAGAAGAAGAAACAAAGAUGGCUGAAGAUUUCAAGAUAAGAUUUGAAAAUUUUGAUCCUAAUAAGUGAGUUCUUAGUUGUAUUUGGGAAAUUCCUGUCAUUGCCCUCAUGCUUCCUAGCGACUCAAGAUGCACCUCCUAAGGCUAUUUUAUUAUCUCAAGGACAUCUUGCAGAAGGUACACAUUGAGUAAAUUAUUUGGAUAUUUGAACCUUUUUCCAUCUUUUAGAGCGUAACAAACAGCCAGAUGAAGAUGAUACGAUGAUGUCCUUUACCUGAUAGCCAAGAUUCUGUCACGCCAGUUGUUUCUGGAUGCAUUGGAGUGAAAAAAAAAUGUGGUCUGUUACUGUUACAUACCAGAGCUCGUAAAAGAUGGCCCAGCUAUCAUAGGCACGUGUGACAUGUCGCCAGCUGAUCGAGCGUUUCUUACAAUUUCCAAAAAUCCAAUUGGGGUCCAUUCCAUGAGGUUCUCAGCAAUGGUUCAGGCUCCAACACUCAGUUCACGUCAAUGAAUUUAUGAACCACUUUUGUUAGUCUGUGACUUUAGAGUCUAGAUUGAGGUCCAUUGAAGUUUGGGUUAGGUGAAGGUCAUAGGUGAACGAGUGGACGAAAUUGAUGUGGCAAAUUUUUGUAUAAAAUGGUAUAUUUUCAAAUUUGAAAUUCAUGCGCUUUAAUGAGGACAGUAACUAGGAUGAUUGUUAUUAGGUAGAGAUGUACAUGAGUCGGUAGGUUGUUUUCAAUUAUGGGAAAACCAACAUUGAAACUUGGUCGGUUGAUCGGUCGGAUGAUUUUCCAGUCCAACUAUUUUUCUAGUGAGAUAACCAUGAAAAUGACAAAAUGUUAGAUAACAAA